rnacentral:rRNA from 1 species
UUGCUUGGCGGGUUCUGAGGAGUUGAGUUGUUGCUGGCCUUUUCUACCUUAAUUUGGCAGGAGGGGCAUGUGCACACCUUCACUUUCAUCCAUCACACCCCCUGUGCACUUGUGAGACAGCAAUAGUUGGUGGAUUUAAUUCCAUCAUCCAUUUGCUGUCUACUUAAUUUACACACACUCUACUUAAUUUAAACUGAAUGUAAUUGAUGUAACGCAUCUAAUACUAAGUUUCAACAACGGAUCUCUUGGCUCUCGCAUCGAUGAAGAACGCAGCGAAAUGCGAUAAGUAAUGUGAAUUGCAGAAUUCAGUGAAUCAUCGAAUCUUUGAACGCACCUUGCGCUCCUUGGUAUUCCUUGGAGCAUGCCUGUUUGAGUAUCAUGAAAUCUUCAAAGUAAACCUUUUGUUAAUUCAAUUGGUCUUUUUUACUUUGGUUUUGGAGGAUCUUAUUGCAGCUUCACACCUGCUCCUCUUUGUGCAUUAGCUGGAUCUCAGUGUUAUGCUUGGUUCCACUCGGCGUGAUAAGUUAUCUAUCGCUGAGGACACCCGUAAAAAAGGUGGCCAAGGUAAAUGCAGAUGAACCGCUUCUAAUAGUCCAUUGACUUGGACAAUAUUCUAUUUUAUGAUCUGAUCUCAAAUCAGGUAGGACUACCCGCUGAACUUAAGCAUAUCAAUCAGCGGAGGGAAGAAAAUUAUUGAAUUUUAUUAAUGAGGAGUUGAGUUGUUGCUGGCUUUUCUACUUAAUUUGGCAGGAGGGGCAUGUGCACACCUCUCUUCAUCAUCACACCCCCGUGCACUUGUGAGACAGCAAUAGUUGGUGGAUUUAAUUCAUCACCAUUGCUGUCUACUAAUUUACCACACUCUACUUAAUUUAACUGAAGUAAUGAUGUACGCACUAACAAAUUUCACAACGGACUUGGGCUUGCACGUAAAAGCACGAAUGCGAUAAGUAAUGUGAUUGCAAAUCAUGAUACGACCUGAGACCUGCGCUCUGGUAUUCUGGACAGCAUUGAGAUAAGAACUCAAGAUACAUUGGUAUCCUGGCUUUAAUGAGUGAGAAACAUAGACUACACGCUUGGUCUAAACGAGGAAUCAGUUAAAUCUGGUCCGUAAUCUGGGGAACUAAAUGCGUAUAAACCUAACGCGGCAAAU